CCUGACUGCUAUCGGAUUGAUACUAAGCCAUGUGAGUCAUUGUAGCAAUACAAGGCAGACGGCUCAGUAACACGUAGCCAAUCUAACCUAUGGACGGGGAUAACCUCGGGAAACUGAGGAUAAACCCCGAUAGAUCAUUAUGCCUGGAACGGUUUAUGGUCCAAAUGAUUCGUCGCCGUAGGAUGAGACUGCGGCCUAUCAGCUUGUUGGUGAGGUAAUGGCCCACCAAGACUAUUACAGGUACGGGCUCUGAGAGGAGUGGCCCGGAGAUGGGUACUGAGACACGGACCCAGGCCCUAUGGGGCGCAGCAGGCGAGAAAACUUUGCAAUGUGCGAAAGCACGACAAGGUUAAUCCGAGUGGUUUCUGCUAAAGGAACCUUUUGUUAGUCCUAGAAACACUAACGAAUAAGGGGUGGGCAAGUUCUGGUGUCAGCCGCCGCGGUAAAACCAGCACCUCAAGUGGUCAGGAUGAUUAUUGGGCCUAAAGCAUCCGUAGCCGGCUCAGUAAGUUUUCGGUUAAAUCUGUACGCUCAACGUACAGGCUGCCGGGAAUACUGCAGAGCUAGGGAGUGGGAGAGGUAGACGGUACUCGGGAGGAAGUGGUAAAAUGCUUUGAUCUUUCGAUGACCACCUGUGGCGAAGGCGGUCUACCAGAACACGUCCGACGGUGAGGGAUGAAAGCUGGGGGAGCAAACCGGAUUAGAUACCCGGGUAGUCCCAGCUGUAAACUAUGCAAACUCAGUGAUGCAUUGGCUUGUGGCCAAUGCAGUGUUGCAGGGAAGCCGUUAAGUUUGCCGCCUGGGAAGUACGUACGCAAGUAUGAAACUUAAAGGAAUUGGCGGGGGAGCACCACAAGGGGUGAAGCCUGCGGUUC
rnacentral:rRNA from 1 species